UACGUAGGGUGCGAGCGUUGUCCGGAAUUAUUGGGCGUAAAGGGCUCGUAGGCGGUUUGUCGCGUCGGGAGUGAAAACCCAGGGCUUAACCCUGGGCUGGCUUCCGAUACGGGCAGACUAGAGGUAUGCAGGGGAGAACGGAAUUCCUGGUGUAGCGGUGAAAUGCGCAGAUAUCAGGAGGAACACCGGUGGCGAAGGCGGGUCUCUGGGCAGUAACUGACGCUGAGGAGCGAAAGCGUGGGGAGCGAACAGG
rnacentral:rRNA from 1 species